rnacentral:rRNA from 1 species
GAUGAACGCUAGCGGCAGGCCUAAUACAUGCAAGUCGGACGGGAUUGAGAAGCUUGCUUUUCAUGAGAGUGGCGCACGGGUGCGUAACACGUAUGUAACCUACCCAUAUCAGGGGGAUAGCCUCUCGAAAGAGAGAUUAAGACCGCAUAACAUUAUUGAAUGGCAUCAUUUAAUAAUCAAAUAUUUAUAGGAUAUGGAUGGGCAUGCGGAACAUUAGCUAGUUGGUAAGGUAACGGCUUACCAAGGCUACGAUGUUUAGGGGACCUGAGAGGAUGACCCCCCACACUGGUAAUGAGACAAGGACCAGACUCCUACGGGAGGCAGCAGUAAGGAAUAUUGGUCAAUGGACGGAAGUCUGAACCAGCCAUGCCGCGUGCAGGAAGACGGCCCUAUGGGUUGUAAACUGCUUUUGCAGGGGAAUAAACCUCGAUACGUGUAUCGAGCUGAAUGUGCUCUGAGAAUAAGGAUCGGCUAACUCCGUGCCAGCCGCCGCAGUAA